rnacentral:rRNA from 1 species
AACGAACGCUGGCGGCAUGCCUAACACAUGCAAGUCGAACGGGAUCCGGACUUCGGUUCGGUGAGAGUGGCGGACGGGUGAGGAACGCGUGGGAACCUGCCCAGUGGUGGGGGAUAACUGCGGGAAACUGCAGCUAAUACCGCAUGAGCCUGAGGGGGGGAAGAUUUAUCGCCAUUGGAGGGGCCCGCAGUCGAUUAGGUAGUUGGUGAGGUAAUGGCUCACCAAGCCAACGAUCGAUAGCUGGUCUGAGAGGAUGAUCAGCCACACUGGGACUGAGAUACGGCCCAGACUCCUACGGGAGGCAGCAGUGGGGAAUAUUGGACAAUGGGGGCAACCCUGAUCCAGCAAUGCCGCGUGAGUGAUGAAGGCCUUCGGGUUGUAAAGCUCUUUUGCCAGGGACGAUGAUGACGGUACCUGGAGAAUAAGCCCCGGCUAACUUCGUGCCAGCCGCCGCAGUAAUAC